AUGAUUUACUUCUCUCAGUGGAAUAUGAGUCUCUUCACUGUUGUAAUCUUAACAGCUAUGGCUGUGUGCUUCACAGGUGGUCAGGGUGUGACCCUGACUGAAUCUGAACCAGUAGUGAUUAACCCCGGAGGAUCUCACAAACUGACCUGCACAGCUGCUGUGUUCACAUUCAGCAGCCACUGGAUGGGCUGGGUCAGACAGGCUCCUGGGAAAGGCCUGGAAUGGUUGUCAACUAUCACAAAUGGUGGUGGUAGUUCUAAAUAUUAUUCAAGCUCUGCACAGGGACGAUUCAGCAUCUCCAGAGACGACAACAAGAAUCAACUCUAUCUGCAGAUGGGCAGUCUGAAGACUGAGGACACAGCUGUUUAUUACUGUGCUCGAGAGUCACAGUGGUAUGAAAGUCUGCAGCACACAAUAUACGUUGCAGAUUCCAGGGGUCAGACUCUGACUGAAUCUGAGCCUGUAGUUCUUAAACCCGGAGACUCCCACAAACUGACAUGCACGUACUCUGGCUUUAGCAGUGAUCCUUGGAUAGCUUGGAUCAGACAAGGUCCAGGAAAAGGGCUGGAGUGGCUGGCUCUAAUUCACCCCACAUCAAGUAGUUCUACAUACUACGCUCAGUCCAUUCAGGGAAGGUUCACAAUUUCCAGAGACAACAGCAGGAAGCAGAGCUACCUACAGAUGAACAGCCUGAAAACCGAAGACUCUGCUGUGUACUACUGUGCUCGAGAGCCACAGUGA